UACGGGGGGAGCAAGCGUUGUUCGGAUUUACUGGGCGUAAAGGGCGCGUAGGCGGUCAGCACAAGUCAGUUGUGAAAUCUCCGGGCUUAACUCGGAAAGGUCGACUGAUACUGUGCGACUAGAGUGCAGAAGGGGCAACUGGAAUUCUCGGUGUAGCGGUGAAAUGCGUAGAUAUCGAGAGGAACACCUGCGGCGAAGGCGGGUUGCUGGGCUGACACUGACGCUGAUGCGCGAAAGCCAGGGGAGCGAACGGG
rnacentral:rRNA from 1 species